rnacentral:rRNA from 1 species
UACAGAGGUCCCAAGCGUUGUUCGGAUUCACUGGGCGUAAAGGGCGCGUAGGUGGCGACCCAAGUCGAUGGUGAAAGCUCGCCGCUCAACGGCGAGUCGGCCACCGAUACUGGGUUGCUCGAGCACUGUAGAGGCUAAUGGAAUUCCGGGUGUAGCGGUGGAAUGCGUAGAGAUCCGGAAGAACACCGGUGGCGAAGGCGGUUAGCUGGGCAGUUGCUGACACUGAGGCGCGACAGCGUGGGGAGCAAACAGG